GUGGAUUUAGCUCAGCGGCAUAAGUGCCUGCCUUGCAAGCAGGCAGUUGUGAGUUCAAUCCCCAUUACCCAUA
rnacentral:tRNA from 1 species